rnacentral:sRNA from 1 species
UGAAAUUGUCUACGCCGUGGAAAAACUCUCCGAGGAAAACAACAGCUAUUCCGUGGAUGCCGCCGAGGUCACUGACCUGCAUGUCAUCAGUUAUGAAGUGGAGCGGGACCUGACUCCACUGAUUCUCUCCAACUGCCAGUACCAGGUGGAGGAAGGCAGAGAGACCGUGCAGGAGUUCGAUCUGGAGAAGAUUCAGCGGCAGAUCGUCAGCCGCUUCCUCCAGGGCAAGCCCCAGCUGAGCCUCAAGGGAAUACCCACUCUGGUGUACAGACACGACUGGAACUAUGAACAUCUCUUUAUGGACAUCAAGAACAAAAUGGCACAGGUGAUCCUGAUAAACCUGAUCCUGUGCACGGGGCUUUCUGCCUUCUCAGUGUGUUUCCCUCCAUGUUAGGCCUACUCCAGCCUUGCCCCGGGUGUUUGCUGUGAGCCACAGUUUCUGCGGCCUCCCUGAGGACCCCAGGGGGCUCCCUUACAGAGAGCAAGCAAGACAGCAAAUCAGCAAGUUUUCUUGUAGAGUAAAAGCAGAUUGACAUCUUGUGGGUUUGAUUCUUAGGAAUGAUGUCAUGGCCAUGCCUGCUGAAGCGGAAAAGUCCAUGGAACCGAUUUGUCCCUGCUCUCCGCAUGCGGGUACUGAUAGGUAGACCUGUGUGUCUCCAUGGCCUCCAGGAACUGCCUGCACACCGUGCGCCCAAGUGUCAGCUGUUAGAGAGUCGGCCCCGCAUGUGGCUUGGGCAGUGAAGGGGCUCGGCUCUCUUACCAGGUGGUGAGACGCCAGAAACCCAGCCCACAGACAUCCCUCUCCUGCUUUUCAUUUCCCAGGACUCCCUCCCCAGCUCGGUCAUUAGUGCCAUCAGUGGACAGCUGCAGUCCUACAGCGAUGCCUGUGAAGUGCUGUCUGUCGUAGAAGUCACUCUGGGGUUUCUGAGCACAGCUGGUGGGGAUCCAAACAUGCAGCUGAAUGUGUAUACUCAAGACAUCCUGCAAAUGGGUGAUCAGACGAUUCACGUGUUAAAGGCCUUAAACAGAUGCCAGUUAAAACACACCAUUGCCCUCUGGCAGUUCCUGUCUGCUCAUAAGUCUGAACAGCUGCUGCGGCUGCACAAAGAGCCAUUUGGGGAAAUCAGUUCAAGGUACAAAGCGGAUCUGAGCCCGGAAAAUGCUAAGCUCCUCAGCACAUUCCUAAAUCAGAUUGGCCUAGACGCCUUCCUGCUAGAGCUGCACGAAAUGAUAAUCUUGAAACUAAAGAACCCCCAAACCCAAACCGAGGAGCGCUUCCGCCCUCAGUGGAGCCUGAGAGACACUCUCGUAAGUUACAUGCAAACUAAAGAAAGUGAAAUUCUUCCUGAAAUGGCAUCUCAGUUCCCAGAAGAGAUACUGCUCGCCAGCUGUGUCUCAGUGUGGAAAACAGCUGCUGUGCUGAAAUGGAAUCGAGAAAUGAGAUAGAAUUAUUUCCUCAGCUAUCUUUGGAUGCCUUUGGAGAGAAGACUCCUCUCUCCUCGUCUGCGGCGUGGACUUGAUCAUGGACUGGUGCCUUUGCAUUCAGAAGGAGAGCUGUCAGCGUAGCACCGAAUUCAAGACCAAGGCGUGCUACCUGAGCUGACAGCUUUUUGAAAGCCGAGCUGUUUCUGAACCAUGUACAUACAUGUUCUGAAACUUUCUCAUCAUUUUAUGAGUACUGUUCAUUGGGAGAUGACAAUGAAGAUUAGAUGAAAUUGGAAAUAAACCAACAUUGUUUACAUUCCAGGAGACUUGUAGCUCAGCCACACACGCAGUAAUGACCUGUGCCCGUUCGCCUCUGGCACUGCCCACCCCUCUUUUUUUUUCUUCUAAUUCUGUACUCACAAAAGACAAUCUCGUUUCCUUCUUUCUUCCAUUCCCUUAAAUUCUGAGUAUUGUACAUAUAUUUCUGGGUUCCCGCGAUGAUGUGAAAAACUACCACUGUUUUUUGUCUUCUCACAAAGACAAGAAAAAUCAGGGCAUUUUGUGAGUGCCUUAAGAUCAAACUAACAAGAUCUGACCCUCUCCCCUCACAGUGAGCCACUGCCCCACUUCAGAGGGUAAGAGCCAAAAGCCUCAUUGUGAAAGGCACUGGACUUGGACCAGGGACACCAUCAGGGCCUUGGUUUUCUCACGCAUAAAAUGGAGAGUGGAUUAAUCGCCAAAGAUUCUUCUGAUCUAACAUUUUGAAAUUAUAAGAGAAACUAGAUGACUGUAAACUUGGUCACAGGCCUGGUUCUGGCAGUUCUUUGCGGACUUUUUUCUAGCAUUAUGCCAAAUAAACAUGCAGUCUCAGUGUGCUCUCGCAUGUAUAAAUAUCUAGUCCUUUCUGUGGUUCUCAGCCAAGACAUAAAAACUAGGACUCAGAGCGCAUACAAAACCAGUUAUGUUUCGGAAAGAGGGAAAAGAGUCCCCGAGCCCGGAUCUUGUGCUGCUUUUCUCACUGAAGUGUUGCCUUUUUUCUUUACAAAAUUUGCUUUGAUACUUAGGACCUCUCUGGACUAAUUUCUCUUCCUAGACAGCUCAGCACAGCUAUUGAUAUGUUAGAGGCAGUAUCCUUAAUAUUCAUUCUACAUGAGUUAACGACUUAACUUGAAAUUGGGCCUAAGGAGUGAGAGCUACAAAAAUACAAAAUGCUUGUCCAGGACUCAGCUAUGCACACCUUGAACAGCGCCGGCAGGAGGCACGGAAGGAACUGUGCUCCGUUCUCCUCACUGUCAUGGUGCCACCAGUGUCUGAUGAAGGGCAGAGUGACCCAGACUGCAGGCAGUAACUGACUUCACACAGUCCCUGGCAUUUAGUCAUCUGUGAUUGUUUUAUCACUCUGGACUGUGCAGAGCCACCUGCCACCGAGAUCUGCAUUCCGACUGCCUAUGAACGGGUGUGGGGGCCGGGGGCUGGCUUGCUGAAGUCUUCAACUUGCACUCGGAGCUCCUUUGAUACCUCAGAGCUGGCUGUCAGGUGGCAGCUCACACCCAGACUCACUGGCCACACCUCAGCAGGGGGGAGUCGAGUGUCAGUCUCUUUCUGUGAAGGCUUUUUUUUCCCUUUGGCCUGGGAAUUUUUCCCAUUUUUAUGAAGGGGUUUUAAAUUGUUUCAUUUUGUGUGCUGUGCUUCAAAGCCUUAACUGUCAAAUCUUGCAUUAUCUUGUUUGUACAGAAAUAUACUGGCCUAGCAGAGGCAAAAAAAAAAAAAAAGAAUUUUAUUUUACUUGUCACACCUGUCUUAAUAAACUGGAGUUUCGCUGCUAAAGAACUCUUCUCUCUGGGGGCAGAGCUUCUAUUUAUGGCACAUAGACAUCAGCUAGGCUUUUGGGAAUCGUUCGUGUUCUUUGUGGAAAUGUCCUUUAGAAGCACCCAUGAAGUAAGUAGUAUGUUCAGACUGUGCACACAGAAAACAUGCUCUGCCUUCACAUGUGAGAUGGUAGACUUUUCCUCUGGACAAAAUGACAGCAGCCUGGCGACUCCACAGUGGAGCUGAGCGCCACUCCCCGUAGCCGAUCUGGGACUGAAACGCUUACACCUCUGCCUCAGAGAGGAGUCCCCCAUGCCCUGCCUGAAAUGACUUCACUGGAAACAGCAGGGCUGCAGCUAACGGGAGUACAGGUAGGAGCUAACUAACUUCACCCAUGAGUCCACUUGUGGGGUAAGAGAUAAACAGUAACCCUUCCAGGAGCCCACUGACGUUUGAGUGCUAAAAAUGCCCCUUUAGGGGGAAAACUGCAUUUUCUCUUCCAAAAAGGAAAGGUUCUUCCAGGCGAGAAACCUGUGGUCUAGAACCACAGCAAGAAGAAGAGGCAUGCUGGCCUGCACCGGAAGACUCACUUUGUCUGCCCUGCGCCAGCCUCACCUCACCCUGCAGUUCCCGUUUCCGCCAUGGAUGCCUCAUCACCAACCCUGACCUUCCCCCUCCCAACCCUUUAUUCAUCCUCACUGCCACUCAUACCCGCCUCCCUGGACAGUUCCCUGCUGCAGAGUUCUUUCUGCUUUCAGCCCUACCUUGGUGGUGAUUUACCUGAAAAUCUUCACAACUGAUCAUUAUCUCCUUCUCUUUGAGACCUGACUGAAAAAAUUAGGUGUGCACACCUGUAAUCCCAGCUACUUGGGAGGCUGAGGUAUGAGGAUUGCUUGAGCCUGGGAGUUUGAGGCUGCAGUGAGCUAUGAUUGCACCACUGCACUCCAACCUGGGUGACAGAGUGAGACCCUGUCUCAAAAAAAAUAAAAUAGAAUAACAUAA